rnacentral:rRNA from 1 species
UACGGAGGGUGCGAGCGUUGUCCGGAAUCACUGGGCGUAAAGGGCGCGUAGGUGGCCUGUGGAAGUCUGCGGUGAAAGCCCGGCGCUCACCGCCGGGUCGGCCGUGGAUACUCUCGGGCUCGAGCUUACUAGAGGCAGAUGGAAUUCCGGGUGUAGCGGUGGAAUGCGUAGAGAUCCGGAAGAACACCGGUGGCGAAGGCGGUCUGCUGGGGUAAUGCUGACACUGAUGCGCGACAGCGUGGGGAGCAAACAGG